AGGCCGCCAAGUUGCCCCGUUUCCCUGGCUGCGGCUUCUGCUUCCUCAAGUCGGGGUUGGUGAGAACCAAACCCCAGUCUCCGCAGACUGGAGAGGCUGGUCCCGCCCUUGGCCUCGCCCGGCAUCCUGGCUGCAGAUGGCUGGCUGCAGUCCGACUCCAGGGGGAGCGUCUCUGCGGAGCCCAGGUUCUCUGUGCUUCCUGGUCACCUGCCCUCCUGGCUGGGGGCACCUGGAUGGCGGGGCUGUGUCUGGCUCCGGCUGGUCUGGGGGGUGUGCUGAAGAGCUGGUAAGAGUGACUCAGCAUCACCCACGAGCAGAGGUGGUCAGAGCCGCCGGGACGGAGCCGCCGGGCCAAGGAGCAGAGGCCUGACCUGGAGGUUUUCACAGGUACAUCUACAUCUUUCUCUUCAAGUCCUUGGAAAGCAGUCGUGCAUGUCAGGAACGUCUCGUUGGCUGUGACCCUUUCUGUCCCUCUCUGGGAUUAGCUUCUGUGAACAGGGUCUCAUGUAAAAGCAGAGAAUCUAUCUGAAGAAAACAAAUGUGGAUAAAAG